rnacentral:rRNA from 1 species
UAAGGAAGGCAGCAGGCGCGUAAAUUACCCAAUCCUAACUCAGGGAGGUAGUGACAAGAAAUAACGAACUGAGGCCUUUGCUUCAGGAUUGCAAUGGGAAGAAUUUAAACCCCUUUUCGAGUAACAAUUGGAGGGCAAGUCUGGUGCCAGCAGCCGCGGUAAUUCCAGCUCCAAUAGCGUAUAUUUAAGUUGUUGCAGUUAAAAAGCUCGUAGUUGGAUUUCUGGCAGGACUCUAAUGUCCGCUCGUUGCGUGUGCAUAUGAGUCCUGCCAUCCUUCUGUUAACUGUUCUGGUAUUCGUUUACUGGUUCAGAGCCCAGAUAUUUUACCUUGAGAAAAUUAGAGUGUUUCAGGCAGGCUUGCGCUUGAAUACAUUAGCAUGGAAUAAUAGAAUAGGACUUUGGUCUCUUUUGUUGGUUUGAGGGACUAGAGUAAUGAUUAAUAGGGACAGUUGGGGGCAUUAGUAUUUAAUUGUCAGAGGUGAAAUUCUCGGAUUUGUUAAAGACUAACUUAUGCGAAAGCAUUUGCCAAGGAUGUUUUCAUUAAUCAAGAACGAAAGUUAGGGGAUCAAAGACGAUCAGAUACCGUC